rnacentral:rRNA from 2 species
UGGGGAAUAUUGGUCAAUGGAGGAAACUCUGAACCAGCAACGCCGCGUGAAUGAUGAAGGUCUUCGGAUUGUAAAGUUCUUUUCUAAGGGAAGAAGAUAGUGACGGUACCUUAGGAAUAAGCCUCGGCUAACUACGUGCCAGCAGCCGCGGUAAUACGUAGGAGGCAAGCGUUAUCCGGAAUGACUGGGCGUAAAGGGUGCGUAGGUGGUUUAGCAAGUUGGUAGCGUAACCCCGGGGCUCAACCUCGGAACUACUACCAAAACUGUUGAACUUGAGUGCAGGAGGGGCAAUUGGAAUUCCUAGUGUAGCGGUGGAAUGCGUAGAUAUUAGGAGGAACACCAGUGGCGAAGGCGAAUUGCUGGACUGUAACUGACACUGAGGCACGAAAGCGUGGGGAGAAAACAGG